rnacentral:rRNA from 1 species
GGCCUAUCAGCUUGUUGGUGGGGUAAUGGCUACAAGGCGUCGACGGGUAGCCGGCUGAGAGGGUGGACGGCCACAUGGGACUGAGACACGGCCAGACUCUACGGGAGGCAGCAGUGGGGAAUAUUGCACAAUGGGCGCAAGCCUGAUGCAGCGACGCCGCGUGGGGGAUGAAGGCCUUCGGGUUGUAAACUCCUUUCAGCCAUGACGAAGCUGGCCUUGUUGGGUCAGUGACGGUAGUGGUAGAAGAAGCACCGGCUAACUACGUGCCAGCAGCCGCGGUAAUACGUAGGGUGCGAGCGUUGUCCGGAAUUACUGGGCGUAAAGAGCUCGUAGGUGGUUUGUCACGUCGUCUGUGAAAUUCCGGGGCUUAACUCCGGGCGUGCAGGCGAUACGGGCAUAACUUGAGUACUGUAGGGGAGACUGGAAUUCCUGGUGUAGCGGUGAAAUGCGCAGAUAUCAGGAGGAACACCGAUGGCGAAGGCAGGUCUCUGGGCAGUUACUGACGCUGAGGAGCGAAAGCAUGGGUAGCGAACAGGAUUAGAUACCCUGGUAGUCCAUGCCGUAAACGGUGGGCGCUAGGUGUGGGGGUCUUCCACGACUUCCGUGCCGUAGCUAACGCAUUAAGCGCCCCGCCUGGGGAGUACGG